rnacentral:rRNA from 1 species
AGUGGCGGACGGGUGAGUAACGCGUGAGAAUCUGCCUUCAGGUCGGGGACAACAGUUGGAAACGACUGCUAAUACCCGAUGUGCAGCAAUGUGAAAGAUUUAUUGCCUGAAGAUGAGCUCGCGUCUGAUUAGCUAGUAGGUGUGGUAAUGGCGCACCUAGGCGACGAUCAGUAACUGGUCUGAGAGGAUGACCAGUCACACUGGGACUGAGACACGGCCCAGACUCCUACGGGAGGCAGCAGUGGGGAAUUUUCCGCAAUGGGCGAAAGCCUGACGGAGCAAUACCGCGUGAGGGACGACGGCUUUUGGGUUGUAAACCUCUUUUCCCUGGGAAGAAGAUCUGACGGUACCAGGGGAAUCAGCAUCGGCUAACUUCGUGCCAGCAGCCGCGGUAAUACGAGGGAUGCAAGCGUUAUCCGGAAUUAUUGGGCGUAAAGCGUCCGCAGGUGGCUCUGUAAGUCUGUCGUUAAAGAAUGGAGCUUAACUCCAUACAGGCGAUGGAAACUACAAGGCUAGAGUUUGGUAGGGGUCACGGGAAUUCUUAGUGUAGCGGUGAAAUGCGUAGAUAUUAAGAAGAACACCAGCGGCGAAAGCGCGUGACUGGGCCAGUACUGACACUCAUGGACGAAAGCUAGGGGAGCGAAAGGGAUUAGAUACCCCUGUAGUCCUAGCCGUAAACGAUGAUAACUAGGUGUUGCUC